UACGUAGGGUGCAAGCGUUAAUCGGAAUUACUGGGCGUAAAGCGUGCGCAGGCGGUUUUGUAAGUCUGUUGUGAAAGCCCCGGGCUCAACCUGGGAAUUGCGAUGAGACUGCAAGGCUUGAAUCUGGCAGAGGGGGGUAGAAUUCCACGUGUAGCAGUGAAAUGCGUAGAGAUGCGGAGGAACACCGAUGGCGAAGGCAGCCCCCUGGGCCAAUACUGACGCUCAGGCACGAAAGCGUGGGGAGCAAACAGG
rnacentral:rRNA from 1 species